UAUCUUGCUUUUCCUGUAUGAUCGGAGCUUCAACCUCACAUAACAUGUUCUGAAAGGACUGUGAUUGGUGAUUGGUGAAAACAGUAAUGCUGGAACCAUCAGGCCAACAAGACUUGGAGAGCAGUCAAAACUCAUUGAAUUUGGUACAAUGCAUUGUGUCUGUGAUCUUGCUGAUGCACAAGGACAUCAAAGUCAAGGAAGAUAUUAUCACCAUCCAAGUCAGAGAUUGAUUUGGUUCUGCACAACGUUAUCACACUGCAGUCCUCCGAUCUUGACUGUAGACAUAUGAUGAAAACCACAGAAGAGCAACUUAGGAUUGCAUCUAAUAGCUUAAUAAGCUGUGCAACAAUAUAAUGAUUUGUGCUCUCGGUGUAAAAACUAUAUGACUUUCUUUUUUUUUUACCUGGGAAAGCACCAAUUUAAAGUACACAAUUUUGAUAAAGAUAUGACUUUUCUUUGCUUA